rnacentral:lncRNA from 1 species
CACCACCACUAACUCUAGCAACAGCACCACUGCUAGAACCACCAACGCCAUCAACUAAGAACAUUGUGGCACCAUCCAAAACCAUUGUCGCUAGAACCACAAUCUCACCAAAUCAUCUCACGACCAUACAUCACCAAAACAACAAUCGCUAGAACCACCACCACAACCAUACAUCACCACCACUUCGGCACUAUCCAAAAUCGGAUCCCAUCAACUGUAUUAGCAGCAACAUCAUUGCGACGACUGCGAACCACCAACGCCAUUAGCGGUACUGUGCAACCUCACCAGAUCCAAUCACAACCACACAUCACCACCACCUCACCAGAUCUAAUCAACUGAGAGCACUACGCACUAUUCAAAACUAGACCCCAUCGACUAUAGUCGCAGCGACAUCAUCACAACAACUGUGAACCACCAAUGCCACGAGAUUGCUGCGAACCACCAACACCAUCAGUAACGCCGCUCCCUGCCAUGCAAACGUCGAACAUCUUCGUGUGUAGUGUGAUAGAGAGACUGCUUCCGAUUGAAAGGCGACUUUUGCGUGCAGUGCGAAAGAAAGACACCAUCAUCACCAAAUCGCGUAGCAGUAGUCCUAGUAGCGUCAUCGAUGGUGCUCUCAGAUGAUGGCUUUCGGUAGUUGCAAUAGAGAGAGG